rnacentral:lncRNA from 1 species
UUCAGAAUUCCAUGAGAACCACAGUGUCAGGCCGUCAUAACUCUGGAGCUGGAAAUGGAAAAGGCUGUGAUCUGGGGCUGGCUGGCACAGUCCCUGUGAGUCAUUAUGGAAACACUGGCCCCGGAUGCUGCUGAGAAGGACUGGGUUGCUGGAGGGACCCCACCGUAAAUAAUCAGAGAUGGCCAAACACACGACACCUGACAAUGGACAGAGGAGACUGACAGCAGCUUAUUAGUUGCAUCUGCUCACAGCCUGGGAGAGGAGGACACCAAACACCAUGCAGGGCCACAUGGGGUUUGCACUCCGGAGCAGAAUGAACCAGCAAGAGCUGUGGGAGAAAGCCUUUGUAGGAACAAACAGCAGGGCCCCCUUCUUUUGAUAAUAGCAUCCCUAUUUAGGGGGAACUACAUGCUCCCACUCUCAGUCCAUGAGUUCCUGGAGUUGUGGUGAGUUCGAUUCCCUUCCUAGGACUCCAGGGGUGGGCUAGUGAUCCAAAAUUGACCAAUUAGAGCAUUCCAUCUCCCUGGCUAUUGUGAUUGGUUCAGAGAGAGACAUGUGACCCAG